AACGAACGCUGGCGGCAUGCCUAACACAUGCAAGUCGAACGAACCCUUCGGGGUUAGUGGCGCACGGGUGCGUAACGCGUGGGAAUCUGCCCUUUGCUUCGGAAUAACUCAGGGAAACUUGUGCUAAUACCGGAUGAUGUCUUCGGACCAAAGAUUUAUCGGCAAGGGAUGAGCCCGAGUAGGAUUAGGUAGUUGGUGGGGUAAAGGCCUACCAAUCCGACGAUCCUUAGCUGGUCUGAGAGGAUGAGCAGCGACACUGGUACUGAGACACGGCCCAGACUCCUACGGGAGGCAGCAGUGGGGAAUAUUGGACAAUGGGCGCAAGGAUGAUCCAGCAAUGACGCGUGAGUGAUGAAGGCCCUCGGGUCGUAAAGCUCUUUUAUCAGGGAUGAUAAUGACAGUACCUGGAGAAUAAGCUCCGGCUAACUCCGUG
rnacentral:rRNA from 1 species